AUUGAACGCUGGCGGCAGGCCUAACACAUGCAAGUCGAGCGGAUGAAGGGAGCUUGCUCCUGGAGUCAGCGGCGGACGGGUGAGUAAUGCCUAGGAAUCUGCCUGGUAGUGGGGGAUAACGUCCGGAAACGGGCGCUAAUACCGCAUACGUCCUGAGGGAGAAAGUGGGGGAUCUUCGGACCUCACGCUAUCAGAUGAGCCUAGGUCGGAUUAGCUAGUUGGUGGGGUAAAGGCCUACCAAGGCGACGAUCCGUAACUGGUCUGAGAGGAUGAGCAGUCACACUGGAACUGAGACACGGUCCAGACUCCUACGGGAGGCAGCAGUGGGGAAUAUUGGACGAUGGGCGAAAGCCUGAUCCAGCCAUGCCGCGUGUGUGAAGAAGGUCUUCGGAUUGUAAAGCGCUUUAAGUUGGGAGGAAGGGCAGUAAGUUAAUACCUUGCUGUUUUGACGUUACCAACAGAAUAAGCACCGGCUAACUUCGUG
rnacentral:rRNA from 1 species